GAUGAACGCUGGCGGCGUGCCUAAUACAUGCAAGUCGAGCGAACAGACGAGGAGCUUGCUCCUCUGACGUUAGCGGCGGACGGGUGAGUAACACGUGGAUAACCUACCUAUAAGACUGGGAUAACUUCGGGAAACCGGAGCUAAUACCGGAUAAUAUAUUGAACCGCAUGGUUCAAUAGUGAAAGACGGUUUUGCUGUCACUUAUAGAUGGAUCAGCGCCGCAUUAGCUAGUUGGUAAGGUAACGGCUUACCAAGGCAACGAUGCGUAUCCGACCUGAGAGGGUGAUCGGCCACACUGGAACUGAGACACGGUCCACACUCCUACGGGGGGCAGCAGUAGGGAAUCUUCCGCAAUGGGCGAAAGCUUGACGGAGCAACGCCGCGUGAGUGAUGAAGGUCUUCGGAUCGUAAAACUCUGUUAUUAGGGAAGAACAAAUGUGUAAGUAACUAUGCACGUCUUGACGGUACCUAAUCAGAAAGCCACGGCUAACUACGUG
rnacentral:rRNA from 1 species